rnacentral:tRNA from 1 species
GCACCAAUGGUCUAGUGGUAUGACUCGAGCUUCCCAAGCUCGCUGCCCGGGUUCGAUACAGCCUUUUUCGAGAAAUGUAAUAUAUUCCUACGAAAAACCCUGGGGAAAAAUAUUACAGCCUUUUUCGAGAAAUGACUGCGAAUAUCCCGGUUGGUGCA